rnacentral:lncRNA from 1 species
AUGUUCAACUACCCUUGUGACUUUGUUAGGUUUCUUCCUUGGCGAUGACUGCUCCUCAAUUGAGCUACAUUGCCACCAUGGCUAACCAACUUCAACUCUUCUAGCUGACCAAUCCAUACAUGCUCAACUAUGUCGUCCCUAUAGGAUUGAAGCAACGUUAAAUCCAUAGUGCCUCCUCCAAAUGAGGGUCCAAUGAUAUGACUAGGUUGUGCCUUUGCCUCAGGUUGUCCCUCAGUCUUUGCUGCUUGCUACUAUUGUCGUUGAGCCAAGUCUACAUCACAACAUGCUAACUUAGUCACAAGUUGUUGCCUCUCCUUUGCCUUUGAAUUUGACACAUAGGUAUUGCGCU